AUUGAACGCUGGCGGCAGGCCUAACACCUGCAAGUCGAACGAGUGGCGGACGGGUGAGUAAUUUCUGGGAAACUGCCUGAUGGAGGGGGCUGACUUCUGGAAACGGUAGCUAAUACCGCAUAACAUCCGAUGUGCCCAAAUGGGAUUAGCUGGUGGGUGUGGUAACGGCGCACCAAGGCGACGAUCCCUAGCUGGUCUGAGAGGAUGACCAGCCACACUGGAACUGAGACACGGUCCAGACUCCUACGGGAGGCAGCAGUGGGGAAUAUUGCGCAAUGGGCGAAAGCCUGAUGCAGCCAUGCCGCGUGUAUGAAGAAGGCUUUCGGGUUGUAAAGUACUUUCAGCAGGGAAGCGUUACCCGCAGAGAAAGCACCGGCUAACUCCGUGCCAGCAGCCGCGGUAAUAC
rnacentral:rRNA from 1 species